GUCUCUGUGGGGUCUAUGGGGUGGGAUUUGAGGUCUAUAUGGGGUCUAUGGGGUGGGAUUUGAGGUCUAUAUGGGGUCUAUGGGGUGGGAUUUGAGGUCUAUAUGGGAUCCUGGGGUCUGUGGGGUGGGAUUCGGGGUCUCUGUGGGGUCUAUGGGGUGGGAUUUGAGGUCUAUAUGGGAUCCUGGGGUCUAUGGGGUGGGAUUUGAGGUCUAUACGGGGUCUAUGGGGUGGGAUUUGGGGUCUAUAUGGGAUCGAUACGGGAUUUGGGGUCUAUGGGGAGGGCUUUGGGGUCUAUAUGGGGUGUAUGGGGUGGGAUUUGAGGUCUAUAUGGGGUGUAUGGGGUGGGAUUUGGGGUCUAUAUGGGGUCUAUGGGGUGGGAUUUGAGGUCUAUAUGGGGUCUAUGGGGUGGGAUUUGGGGUCUAUAUGGGAUCUAUACGGGAUUUGGGGUCUAUGGGGAGGGCUUUGGGGUCUAUAUGGGGUCUAUGGGGUGGGAUUUGGGGUCUAUAUGGGGUCUAUGGGGUGGGAUUUGAGGUCUAUACGGGGUCUAUGGGGUCGGAUUUGGGGUCUAUACGGGAUCUAUACGGGAUUUGGGGGCUAUGGGGAGGGCUUUGGGGUCUAUAUGGGGUGUAUGGGGUGGGAUUUGAGGUCUAUAUGGGGUCUAUGGGGUGGGAUUUGGGGUCUAUAUGGGGUCUA
ensembl:lncRNA